GUACCUUCCAAUGGAAAAAGAAAGGGUAAUCAAUAAGACCCAUGGCCUAGGCUUGUGACCUCGAUUGUACUUUGGAGGGGUGCCUGCCUAAGGUUGGCCCAAUUGGUCGAGCCUAUAUCAUAAUUUAUGGUAGAGAGGGCCUGCGUUCACGUGGCCGCUGC